AGUUAGCUGAGUUGGUUAGAGCGUGGUGCUGACAACGCCACGGUUGUGGGUUCAAGCCCCAUAUGGGCUG